rnacentral:rRNA from 1 species
UACAGAGGUGACAAACGUUGUCCGGAAUUAUUGGGCGUAAAGGGCGCGUAGGUGGUUGAGUAAGUCAGGUGUGAAAGCUCUGGGCUUAACCCAGGAAUUGCAUCUGAUACUGCUCGGCUUGAGUACGGUAGAGGAGGGUGGAAUUCCCAGUGUAGCGGUGAAAUGCGUAGAUAUUGGGAGGAACGCCGGUGGCGAAAGCGACGGGCUGGACCUCUUCUGACGCUGAGGCGCGAAAGCCAGGGGAGCAAACGGG